UGGGGAAUAUUGCACAAUGGGCGAAAGCCUGAUGCAGCAACGCCGCGUGAGUGAUGAAGGCCUUCGGGUUGUAAAGCUCUGUCUUUUGGGACGAUAAUGACGGUACCAAAGGAGGAAGCCACGGCUAACUACGUGCCAGCAGCCGCGGUAAUACGUAGGUGGCAAGCGUUGUCCGGAUUUACUGGGCGUAAAGGAUGCGUAGGCGGAUUUUUAAGUGAGAUGUGAAAACCCUAAGCUUAACUUGGGGACUGCAUUUCAUACUGGAAAUCUAGAGUGCGGGAGAGGAGAAUGGAAUUCCUAGUGUAGCGGUGAAAUGCGUAGAGAUUAGGAAGAACACCAGUGGCGAAGGCGAUUCUCUGGACCGUAACUGACACUGAGGCAUGAAAGCGUGGGUAGCAAACAGGAUUAGAUACCCUGGUAGUCCACGCCGUAAACGAUGAGUACUAGGUGUAGGAGGUAUCGACCCCUUCUGUGCCGCAGUUAACACAAUAAGUACUCCGCCUGGGAAGUACGAUCGCAAGAUUAAAACUCAAAGGAAUUGACGGGGUCAUAGCU
rnacentral:rRNA from 1 species